UACGUAGGGGGCAAGCGUUGUCCGGAUUUAUUGGGCGUAAAGAGCGUGUAGGCGGCCUGAUAGGUCAGCUGUGAAAACUCGAGGCUCAACCUCGAGAUGUCGGCUGAAACCAUCUGGCUAGAGUCCGGAAGAGGAGAAUGGAAUUCCCGGUGUAGCGGUGAAAUGCGCAGAUAUCGGGAAGAACACCCGUGGCGAAGGCGGUUCUCUGGGACGGUACUGACGCUGAGACGCGAAAGCGUGGGGAGCGAACAGG
rnacentral:rRNA from 1 species